AAGUGGUAGCAGCAGCAGCCGGCGCGUGUGAUCCACUUACUUGUCCGACUCUUGUGACAUGUUUGAUCCAAUGAACUCGCUCCCCUUUUCCUGGAGCCUCAGCCUCUGGUGAAACUGGACUUUCAAGUCUGUGCAGGUGAAGGUGUGUGAGAGCGCCCGAGAUGGCAGAACAAGAGCUACAGGUAAUUCUGCUUUUCCGUCCCCCCUCACCACUCUCGCUCGCUCGCCCGCUCGCGCCCUCACCUAGCCGGAAAGGUGGGAUAAGGGGGGGCCCCUCACAUGGGGCCCGAGCUCGGAGGCGGCCGGGCGGCGCGGAGUCCUCCUGGAUCGUGGCAAUGGGCAGACACAGAGCAGAAAGUGGCGGACUUGGGCGGCCACAGUUCUUAACAGGGCAAGAAACAGAGGUUGAAGAUGGAGGCCAAAAUGUCACCUUUUCCAUUGAGAGAGGCACCACUGAGAAUGCAAUUUGAUGGAAGAGCAAGCCACUUGGAGCCUGCAGACUGAAUUCCAGGUUCCAACCCCACCCAUGCUCAGGCCUACAGACUAAACCCUCCAGCAGAUUUUGUUCAAGAGAAUGAAGUUGAAAGCAAGAAGCCAAACAAACAUACCCAGUUUAUCUUCCCAAAUUUUCAAAUCAGAGCCCUGGAGAUCUAAGAUGGACUGGAAUCAUAUCAUCAUAUCCCCAAGGAGGAACAUAAGAACAGCCAGAGGAGAGAUGCAAGACUGAAAUAUCAGAAGAUAGGCCACGGCUUACUCUUCCUUCUGGUUAUAAAAUGUCAUCAGGUUGAAAUUGUUUAGAGAUUCCCAAGUGCUUACUGAGGCCCCACGGUGGGGAGUGGGGGUCUGUCUGCCACAACUGCCCUGUCACUGUGAAUCAGGAGAGAGGAGCAGGAAGAUGCAGUGCCUGGUAAAACCUCUCUUCAGGAAAGAGGGAAUCAGAAAAUGAUGGGCCAAAAGAAGGGUAGAGAAGGAGGUUGUGUGGCACAGAGACCAACAGCAAGGAUUCUAGAGCCAGGUUUGAAAUAUGCCUCCACUGCUGUGUGCUGUGUGAUCUCAGAAAAGUUAUAUCCCCUCUUUGUGGCUUCAUUUCCCCAUCUACAUAAAAUAAAAUUAAUAAAGUUGACCUCAUUGGAUCCAAAAUAA